rnacentral:rRNA from 1 species
CACGUAGGAGGCGGGCGUUGUCCGGAAUCAUUGGGCGUAAAGAGCGCGCAGGCGGCUUGGCAAGUCGGGUGUGAAAUCCCGGGGCUCAACCCCGGGACUGCAUUCGAUACUGUCAGGCUAGAGGUAUGCAGGGGAGAACGGAAUUCCUGGUGUAGCGGUGGAAAUGACGCAGAUAUCAGGAGGAACACCGGUGGCGAAGGCGGUUCUCUGGGCAUUACCUGACGCUGAGGAGCGAAAGUGUGGGGAGCGAACAGG